GUGGGGAAUAUUGGACAAUGGGGGGAACCCUGAUCCAGCCAUGCCGCGUGUGUGAAGAAGGCCUUUUGGUUGUAAAGCACUUUAAGCGAGGAGGAGGCUACCGAGAUUAAUACUCUUGGAUAGUGGACGUUACUCGCAGAAUAAGCACCGGCUAACUCUGUGCCAGCAGCCGCGGUAAUACAGAGGGUGCAAGCGUUAAUCGGAUUUACUGGGCGUAAAGCGCGCGUAGGUGGCCAAUUAAGUCAAAUGUGAAAUCCCCGAGCUUAGCUUGGGAAUUGCAUUCGAUACUGGUUGGCUAGAGUAUGGGAGAGGAUGGUAGAAUUCCAGGUGUAGCGGUGAAAUGCGUAGAGAUCUGGAGGAAUACCGAUGGCGAAGGCAGCCAUCUGGCCUAAUACUGACACUGAGGUGCGAAAGCAUGGGGAGCAAACAGGAUUAGAUACCCGAGUAGUCC
rnacentral:rRNA from 1 species